UCUAAUUUUAAUGUUGUUCGAUUUUCUAUGUUCAAAGGGAUAACUGCCUUAAAAGUCACAAACUUGCCCGAAUUCCGAUUUUUCCCACGAGCUUUAAAAUUGGCGUAUAAAGUCACGAACUUUGCAUUUAGUCUGGUAUUUCCCAACCCGACCCGACCCUGUGUUUUCCGGCAACUCAAAAUCCUAUGUGGCAUGCCUGAAUAUUGACGUGUCCGGCAUAGGAAAAUCGUAAAACGACGUCGUUUUACGCAGCUGCUGCCCUGCCUCCAGCUCCUCUUCCUCCCUUCCUCCGCCAACCCUCUUCCUCCGCCUCCCAGCACCGCCACCAGCUCCAUCGUCGACAAUGCCACCACCAGCCACGCUCCUCAUUUGAAUGAAUCAUCAUUUUGAGAUUUUGCAUCAAAUAAAGCAAUGCAUAAAGCUCCGUCUCCCACUAGAGGGCAAGAAACUCCACGCCCAUGUCAUCAAAUCCGGCUUCGAAAAUCCGGCUUCGACCUCCAGCUGGAAAAUGCGGCUUUCUAAAUGACGCUACUCUACAUGUAUGGAAAAUGUGGCUUUCUAAAAGACGCUCUCCAGCUGUUCGACGAAAUGUCCCACAGAGACCUAGCUUCUUGGGCCUCCAUUUUCACCUCACACAACCACGCCAAUCUCCCCCAAAAAACUCUCUUCUUAUAUUCCGCCGCCGCCUCUAGAGGAAAUCUCCAGCCCGACGAUUUCAUCUACGCCACCUUGUUUAACGCUUGCGCUGGCUAUAAUGCUUUGAAAGUCGGCGAGCAAUCGCACGCGCAGUUUAUUGCGUCGAGUUUUGCAGAUAACGAUGUUGUUAAGUCGAGCCUGGUUGAUUUCUAUGCGAAAUGUGGGCUCCCUGAUAGAGCUCGCAGUGUUUUCAAUUCAUCGUCGACAACGCCACCGCCGCCGCCAUCGUCCUCCAGCACACAGCCGAUCGUACCUCCGGACUACAGCAUCGUUUGAGGAAUGUGGCCAUGGGAGGGUCAAAAUCCGAGGUGCCGGAGGUGCCGGCGGCCUCGCCGGAGGCUUGGAAGAGGCUUGUCACUACAUGAUGUCCAUGUAAGCGGCCACGAGACGCCACAUCAUUUAAAAACGACACGUCAGCUCACCAUUUCGCCGGAAAAAUAAUCAUGGGAAAUCGGCGACUAAAUGCAAAGUUCGUGACUUUAUACGCCAAUUUUAAAGCUCGUGGGAAAAACCGAAAUUCGGGCAAAGUUGGUGACUUUUAAUGCAGUUAUCCCAUGUUCAAAUUGGUCGACGACGUAAACCGACUAGUGCUCUAUUUCAAAAUAAUACGACUCAAUUAUAGUUAAUGGAUGUUGUGUUAUUUCUUUAAUUAAUGUAAUAAGAGCAAAAGAGUCAAUUUGUUUUUUUUA